UACGUAGGGUGCAAGCGUUGUCCGGAAUUAUUGGGCGUAAAGAGCUCGUAGGCGGUCUGUCGCGUCUGCUGUGAAAACUCAGGGCUUAACCCUGAGCUUGCAGUGGGUACGGGCAGACUAGAGUGCGGUAGGGGAGAUUGGAAUUCCUGGUGUAGCGGUGGAAUGCGCAGAUAAUCAGGAGGAACACCGGUGGCGAAGGCGGGUCGCG
rnacentral:rRNA from 1 species